GUCGUUCAUCUCUCUGCUUCUAAACCACUAGGUUUUUAUGAGAGACGGAAGUAAGGAUUUAUCCCCAAGGAACGCACC
rnacentral:ncRNA from 2 species